rnacentral:rRNA from 1 species
UGGGGAAUAUUGCACAAUGGGCGCAAGCCUGAUGCAGCCAUGCCGCGUGUAUGAAGAAGGCCUUCGGGUUGUAAAGUACUUUCAGCGAGGAGGAAGGCGUUGUGGUUAAUAACCGCAGCGAUUGACGUUACUCGCAGAAGAAGCACCGGCUAACUCCGUGCCAGCAGCCGCGGUAAUACGGAGGGGGCAAGCGUGAAUCGGAAGUACUGGGCGUAAAGCGCACGCAGGCGGUCUGUCAAGUCGGAUGUGAAAUCCCCGGGCUCAACCUGGGAACUGCAUCCGAAACUGGCAGGCUAGAGUCUUGUAGAGGGGGGUAGAAUUCCAGGUGUAGCGGUGAAAUGCGUAGAGAUCUGGAGGAAUACCGGUGGCGAAGGCGGCCCCCUGGACAAAGACUGACGCUCAGGUGCGAAAGCGUGGGGAGCAAACA